GUUACUGCUAUCGGUGUUCGAUUAAGCCAUGCGAGUCUAAAGGUUUCUUCGGAAACCUUGGCGGACUGCUCAGUAACACGUGGAUAACCUACCCUUGGGACUGGGAUAACCCCGGGAAACUGGGGAUAAUACCGGAUAGAUCAGGGAUGCUGGAAUGCGCCUUGAUCCAAAGCUCCGGCGCCCAAGGAUGGGUCUGCGGCCUAUCAGGUAGUAGUGGGUGUAACGUACCUACUAGCCAACGACGGGUACGGGUUGUGAGAGCAGGAGCCCGGAGAUGGAUUCUGGGACACGAAUCCAGGCCCUACGGGGUGCAGCAGGCGCGAAACCUUUACAAUGUGCGAAAGCAUGAUAAGGGUACUCCGAGUGCCAGUAUCUAAUACUGGCUGUCCUUGUGCCUAAAACGCACAAGAUAGCAAGGGCCGGGUAAGACCGGUGCCAGCCGCCGCGGUAACACCGGCGGCCCGAGUGGUAGCCGCUAUUAUUGGGUCUAAAGGGUCCGUAGCCGGUUCGAUAAGUCCUCUGGGAAAUCUGGUUGCUUAACAAUCAGACUGCCAAGGGAUACUGUCGAACUUGAGACCGGGAGAGGUAAGAGGUACUUCAGGGGUAGGAGUGAAAUCUUGUAAUCCCUGGGGGACCAUCUGUGGCGAAGGCGUCUUACCAGAACGGGUCUGACGGUGAGGGACGAAAGCUGGGGGCGCAAACCGGAUUAGAUACCCGGGUAGUCCCAGCCGUAAACGAUGCUCGCUAUGUGUCAGGUACGGUGUGACCGUAUCUGGUGCCGUAGGGAAGCCGUGAAGCGAGCCACCUGGGAAGUACGGUCGCAAGACUGAAACUUAAAGGAAUUGGCGGGGGAGCACUACAACGGGUGGAGCCUGCGG
rnacentral:rRNA from 1 species